UACGGGGGGGGCAAGCGUUGUUCGGAAUUACUGGGCGUAAAGGGUUCGUAGGUGGCCAACUAAGUCAUACGUGAAAUCCCUCAGCUUAACUGGGGAACUGCGUCUGAUACUGGUUGGCUUGAGUGCAGGAGAGGAACGCGGAAUUCCAGGUGUAGCGGUGAAAUGCGUAGAUAUCUGGAGGAACACCGGUGGCGAAGGCGGCGUUCUGGACUGCAACUGACACUGAGAAACGAAAGCCAGGGUAGCAAACGGG
rnacentral:rRNA from 1 species